GAUCAUGGCUCAGGAUGAACGCUAGCUACAGGCUUAACACAUGCAAGUCGAGGGGAAACGACAUCGAAAGCUUGCUUUUGAUGGGCGUCGACCGGCGCACGGGUGAGUAACGCGUAUCCAACCUGCCCACCCACUUGGGGAUAACCUUGCGAAAGUAAGACUAAUACCCAAUGAUAUCUCUAGAAGACAUCUGAAAGAGAUUAAAGAUUCAUCGGUGAUGGAUGGGGAUGCGU
rnacentral:rRNA from 1 species